rnacentral:rRNA from 1 species
CAAUAGCGUAUAUUAAAGUUGUUGCAGUUAAAAAGCUCGUAGUUGGAUUUCUGGUGGGAGCGAUCGGUCUGGCGCUUAGCGCGAGUACUUGCAUCGUCUCCGGCCAUCCUUGGGGAGAGUCUGUCUGGCAUUAAGUUGUCGGGCAGAGGAUCCUCAUCGUCUACUGUGAAAAAAUUAGAGUGUUCAAAGCAGGCUUAUGCCGUUGAAUAUAUUAGCAUGGAAUAAUAAGAUAGGACUUUGGUACUAUUUUGUUGGUUUGCGCACCAAAGUAAUGAUUAAUAGGGACAGUUGGGGGUAUUCGUAUUCCGUUGUCAGAGGUGAAAUUCUUGGAUUUACGGAAGACGAACUACUGCGAAAGCAUUUACCAAGGAUGUUUUCAUUAA